AGAGUGAACGCUGGCGGUAGGCCUAACACAUGCAAGUCGAACGGCAGCACAGUGGUAGCAAUACCAUGGGUGGCGAGUGGCGGACGGGUGAGGAAUACAUCGGAAUCUACCUUUUCGUGGGGGAUAACGUAGGGAAACUUACGCUAAUACCGCAUACGCCCUUCGGGGGAAAGCCGGGGAUCGCAAGACCUGGCGCGGAUAGAUGAGCCGAUGUCGGAUUAGCUAGUUGGUGGGGUAAUGGCUCACCAAGGCGACGAUCCGUAGCUGGUCUGAGAGGAUGAUCAGCCACACUGGAACUGAGACACGGUCCAGACUCCGUACGGGA
rnacentral:rRNA from 1 species